CCUACGGGAGGCAGCAGUGGGGAAUAUUGCACAAUGGGCGAAAGCCUGAUGCAGCGACGCCGCGUGAGGGAUGACGGCCUUCGGGUUGUAAACCUCUUUCAGCAGGGAAGAAGCGAAAGUGACGGUACCUGCAGAAGAAGCGCCGGCUAACUACGUGCCAGCAGCCGCGGUAAUACGUAGGGCGCAAGCGUUGUCCGGAAUUAUUGGGCGUAAAGAGCUCGCAGGCGGCUUGUCACGUCGGAUGUGAAAGCCCGAGGCUUAACCUCGGGUCUGCAUUCGAUACGGGCUAGCUAGAGUGUGGUAGGGGAGAUCGGAAUUCCUGGUGUAGCGGUGAAAUGCGCAGAUAUCAGGAGGAACACCGGUGGCGAAGGCGGAUCUCUGGGCCAUUACUGACGCUGAGGAGCGAAAGCGUGGGGAGCGAACAGGAUUAGAUACCCUGGUAGUCCACGCCGUAAACGUUGGGAACUAGGUGUUGGCGACAUUCCACGUCGUCGGUGCCGCAGCUAACGCAUUAAGUUCCCCGCCUGGGGAGUACGGCCGCAAGGCUAAAACUUAAAGGAAUUGACGG
rnacentral:rRNA from 1 species